AUUGGGUGUAGUGGUGCAUGCUAGUAGUCUCAGUUACUUGGGAGACUGAGGGGAGGAUUGCUUGAGUCCAGGAGUUCUAGGCUGUAGUGCCUGAAGCCCACUGGAUGUCUGCACUAAGUCUGGCAUCAAUAUGGUGACCCCCUGUGAGCAGGGGACAAUCAGGUUGCCUGAGGAGGAGUGAACUGGCCCAGGUUGGAAACCUCUGUCAAAACUCCCAUGCUGAUCAGUCGUGGGACGGUGCCUGUGAAUAGCCACUGCACCCCAGCCCGGGCAACAUAAUGAGACCCUGUCUCAA
rfam:Homo sapiens chromosome 14, GRCh38 reference primary assembly.